CGAUGAGCAAUACAUCUCGAAGACUGCGUAGCUUUUUGGGUACCUAAGGCCCGCAUUCCGUACGCCGGCAAGCCCGGAAGCAUGGCCCGGUCACUAUGGGCCCUAAAAGAUAAAUGUUGCUUUUCAUUGUUUAUUUAUGCAUGUAUAAUGUGCUAAAUGUCGCGAGCUGAUUGGCGCAACAAUUACAAAGGUACAGAAUGGUGGGAGAGCCUGCGUCUCACAGUGAAGCUGAUAAGCAUUUAAAACGAAGUUGCCCAUGAGUUGCACGGACGAUGGCCUUGGUGCAACUUCCCGGGGGUUGUUACACAAAGGCCUCCGCCAAAGUGGUUGAUAUAGUUUACCGCUUUAGCCACUUGUUCUGGCAACGGAUAGCUGUGCUCGACUAUUGUGUAUGAUGCAUUGGAGCACAUGUAAUUUCGGCCCGCUGUAAAUUCGGCCCGCGCAACCUGUGUGCAGGCGUGGAUUUGUGCUGAAACGGCCCUCAUGUAUACCCAUUGAUCACAGGGCGGCCAGCAAACGGGUUGCUCCUUGAUGGGUGUUGAGAGCCAACCACAGGUAAAUAGUCAACGGCCACUUCACCGCAGCUCCUUAAUCACGUGCAACCUUGGGCAUAAGAGUGGAUGGGUUUUUCACAUUUCUCCUUAAAGCCUGGCACGAAUGGUUCAUUCUCCCUUCUCUCCAUACCUUGCCGUGUACUCCGCUCGUUAGCUGCGGCUGGCUGAUUGGCUGUACACCCGGACCUCAAGCUAGUAGUCUCAAUUGUAUGCAACGCGGAGAAAGGCAGGCAAACGAGGCGGCAUGUAGAAGACCCAAACGAAUCGUCGUGGUAAUAGAUGGAAUUAGGAAUUGGCAGGUUGCAAAAUUUUCUCAUGGAGCAAUUCAUGUGACCGUGGCUAUUUCGUGUCCAUGUAGCUCAACCUUGGUCACGGAUACAUGGCAAAACCAUGGUGUGUGCAACAUGCACGCGCGCACUACCCUCUUAACCUUUUUUGUAAACAAUGAGACCUAGCCCACGCACGGCGUCGAGAAGCCGCCAGCUCUGUACAUCAGACAUCCUACCGCUGCACUUUGAACUAGAUCCUCAGGGCGGCAUACCAUCACCAAGGUGCCAACAACAUCCAUGCUGGCAGCGCAACUCAUACAUAUAUUCCAUGCAUACAUGUGCUGCUGCUUCCCUGUCUCUUACGCCCCCGCACCGCAGUCCAGCGUAGCCCCUGCAAACACAUCGCAUGAAGGUGACAUUUGGCCCAUGUGGCUCACGUUGGAUGUUCCGGACAGGCCGGAGUCCCAACGGGGUAACAUGAUGUUACACGCCAGCGGGUUGCCUCGCAGCUGAGGCAAUGGAACAGACCCGUGACCAGUAGUCUUCGUGGCCUCAAGGAUAGCUGACGGCUGGGCCCGCAUCGGGUGCAGUCCUAGCACCGGAGAAUCGGGCGCCUGGGGCAGCUGGUGCUCGCCAUCAGUAUCCUCUGCAGUGCUCAAUGCACCACCCCCUGGGCCCGAACCGCUGGCUGCCAGCCUAUUAGACACUAGCGAGGCGCUUGACGGUAGCACAUCCUCGUUCGGGCAUGGGGAUGUACCAAAUUCAGCCCUCUUUGCUGCUCGGGCGGCGGCGGCCUUGGGUGUCAAUGAAGGGAACGUGAACCCGCCGGCCUCGCAGCUGGGCCCGACGGCACCAGAUUCAGAGGGUUGACAGUCACAAAUGGGGGAAUCAGACACCGGCUUAAGGCUAUCGCUGUGACGGAUUCUGGGCGCAGGGAGCUUUAUGCCCCGGGCUGCCACUGUCUUGCCUUCGGCCACGGUGACAACCUGUGAUGCCGAUGUAAAGAGGGAAUCCCCGGGUGCUGACGACGAUGGGGUGUCCUUAGUGCCCUCCUGCCAGCGUGCUGAGACGAUGUAGGAGCGGCGGCGUCGCUGCCUGCCACGCAGGAACAAAGCCAAUCCUACUGCGGCAGCCGCGCACAACAAUCCGCCCACCACCGAAACAACUAUUGGUAUGACUGUGUGCAAGAUGAACAGUGACGGUGGAGCAUCGGCAGUUUUGCCGCGGCUAACCCCAUCAGCGUUGAAGCCCUUGCCAUCGGAACUCACUCCACCAUUGCCGGCGGCUUCAUGACUGCUGCUUGCUUUCAGGAGACCAGGUGCUAGGAUGGUACUGCUGCUGGGUCCUGCAGCAGCUGUUGCAUUACCAAGCUGCGUCAGGGUUCCGCUGGAUUGCUCACCCCAGUCCGUCUGGCCCUGCAUGGACACAUCCGGCGACUGUGGCGGCGGUGUUAUUGUACUAGUCCUGUUGCCGUCGGGAAGCUCACCACCAUCACCAAUAGCACCGUUGUGAAU
rnacentral:lncRNA from 1 species